UGGGGAAUAUUGCACAAUGGGCGCAAGCCUGAUGCAGCCAUGCCGCGUGUGUGAAGAAGGCCUUCGGGUUGUAAAGCACUUUCAGCGAGGAGGAAGGUGGUGAACUUAAUACGUUCAUCAAUUGACGUUACUCGCAGAAGAAGCACCGGCUAACUCCGUGCCAGCAGCCGCGGUAAUACGGAGGGUGCAAGCGUUAAUCGGAAUUACUGGGCGUAAAAGCGCACGCAGGCGGUUUGUUAAGUCAGAUGUGAAAUCCCCGGGCUCAACCUGGGAACUGCAUUUGAAACUGGCAAGCUAGAGUCUCGUAGAGGGGGGUAGAAUUCCAGGUGUAGCGGUGAAAUGCGUAGAGAUCUGGAGGAAUACCGGUGGCGAAGGCGGCCCCCUGGACGAAGACUGACGCUCAGGUGCGAAAAGCGUGGGGAGCAAAACAGGAUUAGAUACCCUGGUAGUCCACGCUGUAAAACGAUGUCGAUUUUGGAGGUUGUGCCCUUGAGGCGUGGCUUCCGGAGCUAACGCGUUAAAUCGA
rnacentral:rRNA from 1 species